UACGAAGGGGGCUAGCGUUGCUCGGAAUCACUGGGCGUAAAGGGUGCGUAGGCGGGUCUUUAAGUCAGGGGUGAAAUCCUGGAGCUCAACUCCAGAACUGCCUUUGAUACUGAAGAUCUUGAGUUCGGGAGAGGUGAGUGGAACUGCGAGUGUAGAGGUGAAAUUCGUAGAUAUUCGCAAGAACACCAGUGGCGAAGGCGAGUCUCUGGACGACUCCUGACACUGAGGCACGAAAGCUAGGGGAGCAAACAGG
rnacentral:rRNA from 1 species